UCCCCGGUGGCUCAGUGGUAAAGAAUCUGCCUGCGAUGCAGGAGACCCAGGUUUGAUCCCUGGGUCAGGAA
rnacentral:tRNA from 1 species